rnacentral:piRNA from 1 species
AGAAGGAAAAUAGGGGAAAAUUGGAAAU